GACGAACGCUGGCGGCGUGCUUAACACAUGCAAGUCGAACGGAGUGGCGAACGGGUGAGUAACACGUGGGUGACCUGCCCUGCACUUCGGGAUAAGCCUGGGAAACUGGGUCUAAUACCGGAUAGUGUGGGAUGGGCCCGCGGCCUAUCAGCUUGUUGGUGGGGUAAUGGCCUACCAAGGCGGCGACGGGUAGCCGGCCUGAGAGGGUGGACGGCCACAUUGGUACUGCGACAGGGACCAGACUCCUACGGGAGGCAGUGGUGGGGAAUAUUGCACAGUGGGCGGAAGCGUGAGGCAGCGACGCUGCGGUGGGGAUGACGGCCUUCGGGUUGUAAACUCCUUUCACCAUCGACGCGGUAGCUGGAGAAGAAGCACCGGCUAACUACGUGCCAGCAGCCGCGGUAAUAC
rnacentral:rRNA from 1 species